CUUUCAGCAACGGAUCUCUUGGUUCCGGCAUCGAUGAAGAACGCAGCGAAAUGCGAUAAGUAAUGUGAAUUGCAGAAUCCAGUGAACCAUCGAACCUUUGAACGCACAUUGCGCCCCCCGGUACUCCGAGGGGCAUGCCCGUCCGAGCGUC
rnacentral:rRNA from 1 species